CUACGGGUGGCUGCAGUGAGGAAUAUUGCACAAUGGGGAGAACCCUGAUGCAGCAACGCCGCGUGGAGGAUGACGCAUUUCGGUGUGUAAACUCCUUUUAUAUGUCAAGAAAAUGACGGUAGCAUAUGAAUAAGCACCGGCUAACUCCGUGCCAGCAGCCGCGGUAAUACGGAGGGUGCAAGCGUUACUCGGAAUCACUGGGCGUAAAGGACGCGUAGGCGGGUUGGGAAGUCAGGUGUGAAAUCCUACAGCUUAACUGUAGAACUGCACUUGAAACUUCUAAUCUAGAGUAUGGGAGGGGGAGAUGGAAUUAGUGGUGUAGGGGUAAAAUCCGUAGAUAUCACUAGGAAUACCUAAAGCGAAGGCGAUCUCCUGGAACAUUACUGACGCUAAGGCGUGAAAGCGUGGGGAGCAAACAGGAUUAGAUACCCCAGUAGUC
rnacentral:rRNA from 1 species